CCCCCUGGGGGCGUUUAAAAAUUGCGUAUGACACCCAUGUUUCAGGGGCCAUCGCGAGCAAUUGGAAAAGUUUUCAACCAGCAAUAAACGCACCUCGGCAGAGCCUCAUUGGUCACGUUAUCGCCUCUGCGCAAAGCU
rnacentral:snRNA from 1 species